rnacentral:ncRNA from 1 species
UUUGACUCAAUAUGAGAAAACUCAUCGAGGAUGUAUGUGAAAAGGACUGACAGAUUGAUAGCUCUCAGUUCUAUGGAUGGUAGUAUGAGAUCAUUAGUUGGUGGAGAUAUUUUUCUGGUUAAUUCUGAUAAUGAAGGAGAAUCUGAUGAUCUACUAGUUACUCCUAUUUUACUCCUAUCUAUAAAAGCAGCUAACUUUUGGAAAUCAGCAACCAGUCCCACUCUAAAUACUUGAGACCUUGGUAUACCAAUAAACUCCUUUUAUCUUAUUUCUUGAG